rnacentral:rRNA from 1 species
UGGGGAAUAUUGGACAAUGGGCGGAAGCCUGAUCCAGCAACGCCGCGUGAGGGAUGACGGCCUUCGGGUUGUAAACCUCUUUCAGCACAGACGAAGCGCAAGUGACGGUAUGUGCAGAAGAAGGACCGGCCAACUACGUGCCAGCAGCCGCGGUAAUACGUAGGGUCCGAGCGUUGUCCGGAAUUAUUGGGCGUAAAGGGCUCGUAGGCGGUUUGUCGCGUCGGGAGUGAAAACACCGGGCUUAACUCGGUGCUUGCUUUCGAUACGGGCAGACUAGAGGCAUUCAGGGGAGAACGGAAUUCCUGGUGUAGCGGUGAAAUGCGCAGAUAUCAGGAGGAACACCGGUGGCGAAGGCGGUUCUCUGGGAAUGUCCUGACGCUGAGGAGCGAAAGUGUGGGGAGCGAACAGGAUUAGAUACCCUGGUAGUCCACACCGUAAACGUUGGGCGCUAGGUGUGGGAUCCAUUCCACGGGUUCCGUGCCGCAGCUAACGCAUUAAGCG